UAUUGCUAGACUAACUCCCAACCCAAUGUGAACGUUACCAAACUGUUGCCUCGGCGGGAUCUCUGCCCCGGGUGCGUCGCAGCCCCGGACCAAGGCGCCCGCCGGAGGACCAACCAAAACUCUUAUUGUAUACCCCCUCGCGGGUUUUUUUAUAAUCUGAGCCUUCUCGGCGCCUCUCGUAGGCGUUUCGAAAAUGAAUCAAAACUUUCAACAACGGAUCUCUUGGUUCUGGCAUCGAUGAAGAACGCAGCGAAAUGCGAUAAGUAAUGUGAAUUGCAGAAUUCAGUGAAUCAUCGAAUCUUUGAACGCACAUUGCGCCCGCCAGUAUUCUGGCGGGCAUGCCUGUCCGAGCGUCAUUUCAACCCUCGAACCCCUCCGGGGGGUCGGCGUUGGGGAUCGGCCCUCCCUUAGCGGGUGGCCGUCUCCGAAAUACAGUGGCGGUCUCGCCGCAGCCUCUCCUGCGCAGUAGUUUGCACACUCGCAUCGGGAGCGCGGCGCGUCCACAGCCGUUAAACACCCAACUUCUGAAAUGUUGACCUCGGAUCAGGUAGGAAUACCCGCUGAACUUAAGCAUAUCAAUAAGGCGGAGGAA
rnacentral:rRNA from 1 species